rnacentral:rRNA from 1 species
AUUGAACGCUGGCGGCAUGCUUUACACAUGCAAGUCGAACGGCAGCACGGGCUUCGGCCUGGUGGCGAGUGGCGAACGGGUGAGUAAUGCAUCGGAACGUGCCCAUUUGUGGGGGAUAACUACGCGAAAGCGUGGCUAAUACCGCAUACGCCCUGAGGGGGAAACGGGGGAUUCUUCGGAACCUCGCGCAAUUGGAGCGGCCGAUGUCAGAUUAGCUUGUUGGUGAGGUAAAGGCUCACCAAGGCGACGAUCUGUAGCGGGUCUGAGAGGAUGAUCCGCCACACUGGGACUGAGACACGGCCCAGACUCCUACGGGGGCAGCAAUUAGGAAUCUUGCGCAAUGGGCGAAAGCCUGACGCAGCGACGCCGCGUGACUGAUGAAGUCUUUCGAGAUGUAAAGGUCUUUUGUUGGGGACGAAGGAAGUGACGGUACCCGACGAAUAAGCCCCGGCUAACUACCGUGCCCAGCCAGCCGCGGUAAGAGUGUGUGUA